GGACCUGCACAAAUGGUGGAGCAUGUUGUUUAAUUCGUCAGUACACGUAAACCUUACCAGGGAUUGAACGUCUGCAAAACGUUGGAAACAACGCAGAGGUUAACAGAUAGUCAGGGAUGCACGGUUGUCGUCAGCUCGUGUCGUGAGAUGUUGGGUUAAGUCCCGCAACGAGCGCAACCCUUCUCAUUAGUUAUUUUUUCUAAUGAUACUGCCUACGCAAGUAGGAGGAAGGUGGGGACGACGUCAAAUCAUCAUGUCCUUUAUAUCCUGGGCCACAAACGUGCUACAAUGGUCGGCACAAAGAGUCUUUUUUAGCAAUGUAGUAAUACAAAGCCAAAUCUCAAAAAGCCGAUCUCAGUUCGGAUUGAGGGUUGCAAUUCACCCUCAUGAAGCUGGAAUCAUUAGUAAUCGCAAAUCAGACAUGUUG
rnacentral:rRNA from 1 species